rnacentral:lncRNA from 1 species
GUGGCAAAUAUAGGUUCAGAACAAAAGCAACAGUACCACAAAAGCAAUAUGAACAGCAACAUUUCCAAGGCAGUGGCAAAUAUAGGUUUAGAACAAAAGCAAGAUUCAGUCAAAUACCAGGAUAGAUUUCUCAUAUAUUUGCAAUCAGAAAUUGCAAAGAUGAACAGCAACAGUACCACAAACCACGCUACUUCUUACACAAAUAAUCAGACGACUACAGUUGGAGAUCGACGCCCGGCAAUUUAUAUCCCGCGCACGGCAACCCAACCAGCCCAGCUCCGGCGAGGACGCAACCGUCGGCGUUGCCCUUGGCCUCGCCACGCUAAUUAAAAUCACGCGGCCGCGAGCCGGAGUCCAGAUCGAGUCUCGCGCGCCUAGGUGAGGGGUUUCGACACCGCGAA